rnacentral:rRNA from 1 species
AUUGAACGCUGGCGGCAGGCCUAACACAUGCAAGUCGAGCGGGGUUUUCGGACCUAGCGGCGGACGGGUGAGUAAUGCGUAGGAAGCUACCCGAUAGAGGGGGAUACCAGUUGGAAACGACUGUUAAUACCGCAUAAUGUCUACGGACCAAAGUGUGGGCCCUUCGGGCCACAUGCUAUCGGAUGCGCCUACGUGGGAUUAGCUAGUUGGUGGGGUAAUGGCUCACCAAGGCGGCGAUCCCUCGCUGGUUUGAGAGGAUGAUCAGCCACACUGGAACUAGGACACGGUCCAGACUCCUACGGGAGGCAGCAGUGGGGAAUAUUGGACAAUGGGCGCAAGCCUGAUCCAGCCAUGCCGCGUGUGUGAAGAAGGCCUUCGGGUUGUAAAGCACUUUCAGUAGGGAGGAAGGGUGUUGUGUUAAUAGCACAGCAUUUUGACGUUACCUACAGAAGAAGCACCGGCUAACUCUGUGCCAGCAGCCGCCGUAACAC